UACGGGGGGGGGGCAAGCGUUUGUUCGGAAUUACUGGGCGUAAAGGGCUCGUAGGCGGCCAACUAAGUCGGAUGUGAAAUCCCCCAAGCUUAACUUGGGAACUGCAUCCGAUACUGGAUGGCUUGAAUCCGGGAGAGGGAUGCAGAAUUCCAGGUGUAGCGGUGAAAUGCGUAGAUAUCUGGAGGAAUACCGGUGGCGAAGGCGGCAUCCUGGACCGGCAUUGACGCUGAGGAGCGAAAGCUAGGGGAGCAAACGGG
rnacentral:rRNA from 1 species